rnacentral:lncRNA from 1 species
UGCCUGGCGAUCCUGGUUCCCCUGGGCCCCGGGGACCUGCUGGGCCCCCAGGACAGAAAGGAGACAAGGUAAGAGGAGGGGCUGUGGUGAGAGGCAGGGGCCGCAGGAAAGCCCAAGUUGUGGUAGUGCAGGAUCUGCUGCCGUCCCUCGCCCCCCCAGUCCACUGUGAGAUUGUGCUCUGGUCUCCCUUCUGCACAAAGGCACUUGAUGCCAUGACCGGGGCAAUGCACACAUGGCAGGAGGCUUUGCUGUGGCUUGUAGUGGCCUCCUUUCCCUGGAUCCCACCCUGCUAACCUGGAGGAGCAGGGGCUCAAAGAGCCAUCCUCGCUGGCUCCUGUCCCCUCGAGUUCCCUGAGAUAUGUUGCCUUUGUCUUUUCGGGGCACUUCCUUUGCUCUUUGUCCCCAGGGUGAUGGGGAAGAAGGUUUUCCAGGGCCGCCAGGUCGCCAAGGGGACCCAGGAGAUCGGGGCCCGAGAGGACCUCCAGGUGAACAAGGAAGCAAGGGAGACCGUGGGCAGCCGGGAGAACUCGGAGAAGCAGGGGAGAAGGUGAGAGUUUGCUGGAGCACAGGGUUACGCUGUGGGGACCGGGAGUAUCGGG